rnacentral:rRNA from 1 species
UGGGGAAUAUUGCACAAUGGGCGAAAGCCUGAUGCAGCGACGCCGCGUGCGGGAUGAAGGCCUUCGGGUUGUAAACCGCUUUUAAUUGGGAGCAAGCGAGAGUGAGUGUACCUUUUGAAUAAGCACCGGCUAACUACGUGCCAGCAGCCGCGGUAAUACGUAGGGUGCAAGCGUUAUCCGGAAUUAUUGGGCGUAAAGAGCUCGUAGGCGGUUUGUCACGCCUGGUGUGAAAGUCCAUCGCUUAACGGUGGAUCUGCGCCGGGUACGGGCAGGCUAGAGUGCAGUAGGGGAGAUUGGAAUUCCCGGUGUAACGGUGGAAUGUGUAGAUAUCGGGAAGAACACCAAUGGCGAAGGCAGAUCUCUGGGCUGUUACUGACGCUGAGGAGCGAAAGCAUGGGGAGCGAACAGGAUUAGAUACCCUGGUAGUCCAUGCCGUAAACGGUGGAUGCUGGAUGUGG